UUGAUCUCAAAUCAGGUAGGACUACCCGCUGAACUUAAGCAUAUCAAUAAGCGGAGGAAAAGAAACUAACAAGGAUUCCCCUAGUAACUGCGAGUGAAGCGGGAAGAGCUCAAAUUUAAAAUCUGGCGUGCCUCUGGCCGUCCGAGUUGUAGUCUGGAGAAGCGUUUUCCGUGUUGGACCGUGUAUAAGUCUCUUGGAACAGGGCGUCAUAGAGGGUGAGAAUCCCGUCUUUGACACGGACUACCAAUGCUUUGUGAUGCGCUCUCAAAGAGUCGAGUUGUUUGGGAAUGCAGCUCAAAAUGGGUGGUAAAUUCCAUCUAAAGCUAAAUAUAGGCGAGAGACCGAUAGCGAACAAGUACCGUGAGGGAAAGAUGAAAAGCACUUUGGAAAGAGAGUUAAACAGUACGUGAAAUUGCUGAAAGGGA
rnacentral:rRNA from 1 species